rnacentral:rRNA from 1 species
AUUGAACGCUGGCGGCAUGCUUUACACAUGCAAGUCGAACGGUAACAGGCCGCAAGGUGCUGACGAGUGGCGAACGGGUGCGUAAUGCAUCGGAACGUGCCCAGUCGUGGGGGAUAACUACUCGAAAGAGUAGCUAAUACCGCAUACGAUCUAUGGAUGAAAGCGGGGGACCGUAAGGCCUCGCGCGAUUGGAGCGGCCGAUGUCAGAUUAGGUAGUUGGUGGGGUAAAGGCUCACCAAGCCAACGAUCUGUAGCUGGUCUGAGAGGACGACCAGCCACACUGGGACUGAGACACGCCCCAGACUCCUACGGGAGGCAGCAGUGGGGAAUUUUGGACAAUGGGCGCAAGCCUGAUCCAGCAAUGCCGCGUGCAGGAAGAAGGCCUUCGGGUUGUAAACUGCUUUUGUACGGAACGAAACGGCUCUGGUUAAUACCCGGGGCUAAUGACGGUACCGUAAGAAUAAGCACCGGCUAACUACGUG